UCUCUACUUCUUAAGGUCUGUUAUCAUUUCUAAAAUGGGGACAAUCAUAUCUACUUUGCCUAUCUAAAAUGUAUGCCGAGAUAACAAGAUAACGUGAGAGGGUUUUGAAAACUACAUAUUGAUAUACAAGCCUAAGAUAUUAAUAUUUCUAUUCUUUCAGAUUAAAUGUUCUUAACCUAGAUUCCAUGGAUGUCUAGAACCCCCUAAGACAGUAUGCAAAAUUUUGUGUUUGUAUUUUCCUGGGGAGAGAGCCCAUAGUUUUCAUCAGUUUUCCAAAUGGCUUUCUGUUUUAAGUGCCAAUCCUGACCUAGAGUUAUAGUCAAGCUACCUCUACCAUCAUUUAUCAGAUACUUUGAAGGAUUUGUCUCUACUUCCAAGUAGAUAUGGUUCAGAUAUUCCUCAAAACACCUCUCUCUUCCAAGCCAAAUGAGCAGCUUGAACCCUUUACCUUUGAAAAGGAUUACUUCUAGCCAAAAGAAUACUGGGCAUCAAGCUGUCCAGGUACUCAAGAAAGUCAAUCCACCAGAUUUCCUAUGGAAAAGUACCAAGCACUACAGAGAGCUGGAGUAGGAGGAGGAGGCGGAGGAGGGGGAAAUAUUAAAAUGCAGAAACACAGAAAAAGUUAUUGCUGAUCUCCAUGCAUGUUAGACAAGGUUACUUCCAGAAGGGACUAAAGAGCUCUCAGGGGAAAUAGAACACAUUAAUAAAGACAGUCUUUAAAAGGAUGUGUUCCCCAACCUUUCAGCAAUAAAACUGCCUGAACAUGAAAACAGCUGAAGAGCAGAGGCUUCAGGAGAAGUUUUCCAGUGAUUGAUGGAACAUAAACUUGAAUGUCUACCUUGUCAAUUCUUGAGAUUGGGGUUCUUCAGGCUUCAUCCUGGCUUAUUUCCCUGCUGGGAAUCAAAGAUUGUUCCUUAUGCCUAUGUGAAACAUAAAAAUUGUGGCAUAUACCUCUGCAAAUACAAGUGAAA